rnacentral:rRNA from 1 species
UGAGGAAUAUUGGUCAAUGGGCGCGAGCCUGAACCAGCCAAGUAGCGUGCAGGAUGACGGCCCUAUGGGUUGUAAACUGCUUUUAUGUGGGGAUAAAGUGAGCUACGUGUAGUUUAUUGCAGGUACCACAUGAAUAAGGACCGGCUAAUUCCGUGCCAGCAGCCGCGGUAAUACGGAAGGUCCAGGCGUUAUCCGGAUUUAUUGGGUUUAAAGGGAGCGUAGGCCGUGGAUUAAGCGUGUUGUGAAAUGUAGACGCUCAACGUCUGAAUUGCAGCGCGAACUGGUUCACUUGAGUAUGCGCAACGUAGGCGGAAUUCGUCGUGUAGCGGUGAAAUGCUUAGAUAUGACGAAGAACUCCGAUUGCGAAGGCAGCUUGCGAGAGCACAACUGACGCUGAAGCUCGAAGGUGCGGGUAUCAAACAGGAUUAGAUACCCUGGUAGUCCGCACAGUAAACGAUGGAUGCCCGUUGUUAGUUCACUUAGGAAUUAGCGACCAAGCGAAAGCAUUAAGCAUCCCACCUGGGGAGUACGCCGGCAACGGUG